rnacentral:rRNA from 1 species
CGUAGGGGCCAAGCGUUGUUCGGAGUUUACUGGGCGUAAAGGGCGCGUAGGCGGCGAAUCAAGUCAGCUGUGAAAUCUCCGAGCUUAACUCGGAACGGCCAGCUGAUACUGUUUUGCUAGAGUGCAGAAAGGGCAACCGGAAUUCUUGGUGUAGCGGUGAAAUGCGUAGAUAUCAAGAGGAACACCUGAGGCGAAGGCGGGUUGCUAGGCUGACACUGACGCUGAAGCGCGAAAGCUAGGGUAGCAAACGGGAUUAGAUACCCCGGUAGUCCUAGCCCUAAACGAUGUAUGCUUGGUGUCUGGAGUUUUUAUCUCUGGGUGCCGUCGCUAACGCUUUUAGCAUACCGCCUGGGGAGUACGCACGCAAGUGUG